UACGGGGGGGGCAAGCGUUGUUCGGAAUUACUGGGCGUAAAGGGCUCGUAGGCGGCCAACUAAGUCAGACGUGAACUCCCUCGGCUUAACCGGGGAACUGCGUCUGAUACUGGAUGGCUUGAGUUUGGGAGAGGGAUGCGGAAUUCCAGGUGUAGCGGUGAAAUGCGUAGAUAUCUGGAGGAACACCGGGUGGCGAAGGCGGCAUCCUGGACCAACACUGACGCUGAGUGAGCGAAAGCCAGGGGAGCAAAACGGGG
rnacentral:rRNA from 1 species